UUUGAUGUUGGCGAAACAGCGAACAGUCUUGAUGGGUAUAUUGGUGUCUCUACAUAAGUUGACAUAAUCAGUAAAGCAGUCAACCUUUUUAUCAAUGUUCAUACUAUCCACAUCUUUUUCCAGCAGCACAUUCCAGUCUGUUGAUUUAAAACAGUCCCUAAGAGCUUCACUAGCUUGAGGUGUCCAUCAUCUGAUUUUGCCUUUGAUAACAGGCUGCCUCAGUACACAACGUCUGUAACAGGUUUGCAGAUAGACCAAGUUAUGUUCUGACUUGCCCAGUGAUGGUAAGGCAGUGGCUCUGUAGGCUUCUUUGAUGUUGGCAUACAGCAAAUCCAGACUUUUGUUUUCUCUGAUAGGAUAGUUCACAAACUGUGUGAAUCCAGUCAGGUGAGAGAAGAGGGUGACAUGGUUGAAGUCUCCCGAUAUUAUUAGAUUAUUAGAUUAUUAGUACCUCAGGGUGUUGAGUCUGUAGCCUGGCUACACUAUUUUGCAAAACAGCACAAGGAAUUUCUUCAGUUGAUUUGGGUGGAAUGUAAACAACUAUUGUUAUGAUAUGACUAAAUUUUCUUGGAACAUAAUAUGGCCGAGGAGCUUAUAAGAGUGAAACCAGGUAGAUCCUCAGUGGAGUCCGAGUUGUUUUGAUAUAAUAAUUCUCACUAUUCAUGUCUUAUUCUACAAAAAUUCUGACAUUAACUGUUUCAUCAUAUUCAUACCUGCCUUGUUUUCUAAACCUACUAAAUUUCCAUCAGGCAGUGCCUUCAGGUUUCAGUUUUCCACAGUAUAAAUCCCUCUGACCAUUCAUGCCUCAUACUGCUCCUUUGUACAAUUUUCUAUUCAUUUAAACAGAUUAAAACUUUCAUAUUUCACACAUUUAAACUGUUGUGAUUGUAAGCAUGUGAAAUUAUUCAUUCUUUCAUAAAAGUGAAUUAAAACUCAAGACUUCCAUAUUGUUACUCUAUUGACAUUGAAUCAAAAAAAAAAAUUAAAAUUAAAACAGCAAUAGAACAACAUGUGGUGUAUAUGGCACCAUCAGCCUUCGAACCUCUAAGCAUGUCAGGAAAAAACUCCCCCAAAAAAUGCUUUCUCAGGACAAGAGGAAAAAACCUUUAGGUAGGCCAGAUCUUAGAGGGAUCCCCUCCCAGGACAACUAAUCAUGCAGUAUUUUCGAGUUCUAAGGUCAGCAGAGAUCAAGUGGCUUCAGGGUCCCUGGUUGCUAGGUUUGGCUUUGCAGCUUAUGUAGAGCUGGUUCUGUGAUGAGCUGAGAGGAAAGACAACAGUUACACCAGAAGAUGAGACAUACUUGGUGAAGCUCAGAGCUGUUGUUCCCCAGGUCAGAACCCUUCUCUGCUGUUGACUCAGUGCUUGGUUCUAGGAAGCCACAAUGAAGAUCUGCAGGACUUUGCUAGUUCUUCAGCUCAUGCUGAGUUCUGUGAUUUACAGAGAGAAGUGAAGGUUGUCACAUCAGAUGAACACAAACAAAUGAUGUGACUGCUGAAACAAAUACAUACCAGUUAAAGGUCCGGCAUUGUGUGAGCAACAACUUUUCUAAUGCUGGAUCAAAAGUUUCUUCGGCUCUGAGAGUCACAGUGAUGAGUUGAUGGACUUCUUUUGUUGCUGACCGGUCACACACACACAGAGGGUUUGUUUUCCUGUACAGCACUGGCAGACAAAACUUUCCAUUAAUUUUCAUUACCUUUAAACCUUUUUUAAGCAAAUGUCACAAAACUCUUCAUGAUCAAUAAAUUGUUCAGUCGACUCACAACAUGCUUAAGUCCUGCAGAAGAUCAGUUGCAGCACCUCCUUUCAGAAUAGUGCUGCGUACACGGUGUGUCGGUUUAACUGGUGUUAAGUUAACUGGUGACACUCCAAGCAGAUGUUCAAGAGGCAUGGCUUUUGAGGACCUUUGUUGACAUUCCGUUUAUCAUUCACCAUCUAAUUACACACUUGCAACCGAAUCGUAUCAAUUUAUAGGGCCUUUUGAGACAUGCAUGUCUAGCGGAAUGAGUUUAUUGGGUCAAAGAUGAAGAUGAAUGCACGAAACAUAGGAAGAAGGAAAUCGGUGACUGUGCAAAUGCCAGUUCAAAAUAUAGCUGUCAACGAGUGAGAAAUUUAACAACCCACUGAGCAAAAGACGUUUAUUAGAGGUCUAGUCUAAAUUUAUACUUCAUUUCAAUGUCGGGAUUCCAGCUAUUUUUAGACAUGAUUUAUACUUCGCCCUUAACUUCAUUUUUCGAUAACUUUUUAUGCAAUAAACUUCUGUAUUUGUUUCUAUGUUUUUAAAUUAGUUUUUAAAAACAUUGAAGCUAUAUUUUAUUAUUAAUUCUGCUUUUAUUUUAUCCAUUGUUUGAAUUGUUUCUUGAUUGUUUUUUAUCUUGUUGUUUUGUCUAGUUAUGUACAGCACUUUGUACAGCUGUGGUUGUUAUAAAGUGCUCUACAAAUAAAGUUGAGUUGAGUUGAGUUGAGUAUUGUGCAUAACUGACCUCUCAAUACUGGAUUACAUUACUUAUGAUACCGUGGAGAGAUAUGCAGCAUAGUAUAGAUGUAGACGUCAUUUACAUGUAUAAAUAUAUACUUCAUUUCAACGUCGGAAUUCGGUCUAUUUUUAGACGUGAUUUACACUUUGCACAAAACUUAUUAUUCGAUAACUUUUUAUGAAAAAGACAACUGUAGGGUGCAUAACUGACCUCUAAAUACUGGAUUAGAUUACUUAUGAUACCGUGAAGAGAUAUGCAGCAUAGUAUAGAUGUAGACAUCAUUUACACGUAUAAAUUUAUACUUCAUUACAAUGUUGGGAUUCGGUCUAUUUUUAGACGUGAUUUAGACGUAAAAAUGUAUACGUCAUUUCAACGUCUACAUAUAGACCGAAUCUAGACAAUUGAUUUUAAUCUACAAUUCAAGAGUUGAUUAUUUAAAAUGAUAACUGAACAUUGCAGAACUGAUCUUAAUCUAUGGGUGUCAAAUAACACUCCGGAGUGUGACCAGUGUUUUCGCCUUAUCCGGUCAAAACGCAUAUAUGGCAAAAAAAAACAACUUUGGAUCUUAAAGCCUGGGUCCUGCUGCGCACUCGACAACAAAGUUAGUCGCUGAAAUUCCAUUUCAUUAUUAGAUUUAAUGUGUUUUAUCCGACUGGGUAACGCCUGCUGCCACCGUGACAGUAAUCCAGCCACCGUAUUGGUGGAGCACGCUCACGUGACCAUUCUUAUUCCACCAGGAGCAAAGUAGUCCGUGAUAAAAGUUACCGACAUAGCCGCAAGAACACGAGAUGAGUGACAAAAAAGUAUUUGGUAGCUCUGCAAGAGCCCAGCCUUACACCCUUAUGGAGAUCGUACCAUAAUCGGACCAUAACAUGAAAACGGCUUCAAAUUGUGGACCGCACAACAUCCGGCUGAAGCAUUGCGCUUUGUCCACACUCAACCUCAUGACCGUCGGACUACAACAGAAGUUCCAGUCGUUCCAGAGUUCGAGAAUUAUACUUUCACCUGAAAAGAGGUGGGUGCUGCAGGAGAUAUUAUAGAAAAUGUUUAUUUUUGCAAGCUUUGGUCCUCCCACCGUCGUGCAUCAUGAUGCGUGACGGUGAAAUGCAUUCACGGCAAAUGUUAAACUUGAGUUCGCAUGUAGCCUGGUUGCUACUACGAGGGCUAGCUUGUGGCUAGUUUAGCCAGCGUGGGCCCAACACCAUCAAAUAGUCCAUGCUAACGUGUGUUGUCAUGAAAGGAAAUAAGGGCCUGCUCUCUCUGUUGGAGCCUAGCUUAAAAGCUGCUAGUUAGGCUAUCAAUUUAAAUUAGAAAAUGAAGUCUAUUGUGAUGCUAGUACUGUUGUUUUUGUUUAUCCAGUGUUAAUUUUUUUAUAUAGUUAAAUUUGUGUUUAACUGUAAUUGUCAUAGAUUGUUUUUCACUGUGUGUGGUAGAAAUGGGACGCAUUAGUUGAAUUAUUCCAAUAUUAAUUUGUUAAUGCAUUAGCAGUGCUAUAGGAAAUGCUAAUACUAAAAAUCUAAAAGUAUUGGUAUUAGUAUUUUAGUAAGUAAAAGUAAGUAUUUUUUUUUUACCAAGAGCAAAAGGUAUUCAUUAUGCAUUAUGUCCUGCUUCACAAGUUGUGGUUGAUCUACAAGCUCACACUGUUAAAACAUUAUUAUUUUUCUAUUUUCUUUUUUCCAUG